UGGCGCAUACCUGUCUUGGUGGCACGCACCUGUCAUCCCAGCUACUCAGGAGGCCUGAAGUGCAAGAAUCGCUUGAACCCGGGAGGCAGAGGUUGCAGUGAGCAGAGACUGCGCCACAACUACAUUCCAGCCUGGGAGACAGAGUGAGACUCCAUCCCCCCACCGCCCCCCAAAAAAAGGAUCAGAGACAAGUGUAAGCAAAUAUUAGGAAAAUGACACUCCCUAUUUUAAUCAAAAUAUGAUCUCCUUGUAACAUACACAAUGUAAAGUAGAUAAUCUUAUCCUUAUUUUAGGGAGGAGGAAACUGAGAAUCAAGGAUGUUAGGUAACUUGCAUCAAGUUGGCCAGCUUGAUCUCUGAGUAGUGGCAGAACCAGAACCCGAUUUGAACCAGCCUCACUCUAAGCCCCAGCCCUUGCCACACCACCACCACCCAUCAAUUACAUAUCCACAAAGAACCUCCGUCUGGUCACGUAUGAAAUGAGGGAUUGCUGCCGUCCAGUUGGGAAUCCUGGAGUCUGAAUGCCCCACCACAGACGGCAGUGAUCAGAAAGAUAUUCUUCUCUGGGGAGGGCUGGGCCCCAUCCACUCCCCAGUCAACUCCCCACAUUCCAGGGAGAUGCAGUGAGCUCUUCUCUGCAGCCAGCUCAGGCUCAUGACUGCACUGCCAGGGAAGAGAGUAACAUUGCUCCAGACCCAUUUGUACCUGACUGCUCUAAAGGUUACCUUGGAUCUGGGAAAGUUUGCUGAGUAAAUUAAUAACAUAAGCAAGGACGUAAGAAGAACUUUAACCUACCUCACAGAAUUCUAUACUAAGAG
rnacentral:lncRNA from 1 species